UACCGAAGUGGUGAAACUGGUAAACGCAUCUAAUUCAAAACUAGCUACCUUAUAGGUUUAUCGGUUCAACUCCGAUCUUCGGUAG
rnacentral:tRNA from 1 species